rnacentral:lncRNA from 1 species
GUAGUCACAUUCGUAGUUGCAGUUAUCAUAGUAAUUAUAUUUUGUUUUGAUUUUUCUGAAUCAGCAGUUACUAUUGUUAUAAUAUGUACAUGCUAACUGGGUAGUUUGUACUAUUUUCUUAUAUCUACCUAUAUAUAUAUAUAUAUAUAGCCAUCACCAAAUUAAUGACAAUAUGUUUGCUAUGUUUAAAAGACCGGUGUUUUUUUUAAACGCUGCAUUUUUUGUUACUUUAUUCUUGUUCCUUAAACGAAACAACAAAUACGCAGGUUUGUUGUUAAACAUAACAAAUGAGAUAAAAAAGUGGCUAUUAAACAAACCAUUGUUUUUUUUAAAUAAAUACAAACAAAUAAAAAUCCCAAUAAUUGAUAAGAAUGUAAAAAUAACUAUAAGUGAUGAAGAACUAGAAGAAAAAUUUGAAAAUGUAUGUAAUGCUAUGAAUUUAGUUAAGCAUCAAAUGAAAAAAGAACAUUUUUUAUAUUUAUAUGGAUUAUAUAAACAAAUUGUAGAAGGUGAUAUAAAAUUAAACUCAGAUAGAAACCAGGAAGUUUGUAAUAAUACUAACGAUGUAAAUAAAAAAAAAAAAAUGUUUUCAAAGUUUCGUAAAAAUUCAAGUAAGUCCAAAGAAGAUAAAGACAAAAAAGAUAACAACAAAAUGAACAGUUUUAUAGAAAAUGAAAAACUACAAGCAUGGAAAAAUUGUUAUGGAGUAAAUAAAAAAGUGUGCAAAUAUUUAUACGUAACUUUUUUUAAUAGUAUAUUUCCUGAUGCAGUUGAAACAAGUGAUACAAGUUCGUCGUUCGAUUUGUCAAAGAGUAUUAGUAAAAUGAAAAGAAUAAAAGAAACACAUGAUGAUUAUAAUUUAAAAAAUAAUUCAUCUCAUAAUAGCAACAGUAACAUUCCUAGUGAUACUAUAUGUGAUAUCUUAUGUAAUAAUGUUAUCUCUAAAAAUAUAGCAGGUAUAGAGCAAAUUUUAAAAACGAAACCAGACAUAAUCAAUAGUAAAAAUAGUGAAGGUUUAACACCUUUACAUUAUGCAUGCGAUAGGGGGUACUUAAAUAUCGUUAAGCUUUUAAUAAAAAAUGGUGCUGAUGUUAAUGUUGAAGAUUCCUAUGGUGAUAGCGCAUUGCACAUUGCUGCAUAUUCAGAUAAAACAGAUGUAAUUAACUAUUUGAAGAGUGUAGGAGCUGAUUACAUGAAAACAAAUUUAGAUGGCUUAACAGUUAGUUCCAUAUUAAACACAAACUGAAUACGUAUUUUAUAUAUCUAUAUAAAUCGUAGUAUGUAUGUAUUUUUUUUUUUUUUUUUUUUUAUUUAUUCAUUUGUAUAUAAUAUUCUGUAAAUUAAUUUUUAUGUUUACUUAUUACGCAUUAUAAUGGAUACAAAAAUUAGAAUUGCAAAAAAAAAAAAAGAAAAAGUGAGUUAAUUUUGUUUUUUUCUUAACAGCUAUUUUGCUCGCUCACCUUUUUUAUUAUUUUUUUUUUUUUU